ACUCAAAGUUUCCCGAGAACCCGAUAACUAAAGGUGGAACGUUGGAUCAAUAAAAGGAAGGGUCGAGAUGCAAGGUGGCGUUUUUGUAGAUAAGUAGACAAAAAAAGAAUGAGGGGUAUCUUAAUUAAUUCAGCUUGGGUAUUAUAGGAAAAGAAGUAUAAUUAAAUGAUUUAUUAAAUUCAAUAUCUGAUAAAAUACGUUUUCAUCUCUCUCUUUCCUCCCCGUUUUCCUCUCUCGCUCAAAGCUACGAUCCAUCCUCUGACGACUCACAUCCGUCGAAUUGCCUCCAAUCCUUCUUCCAAUUCUAUGCUUUCGAUUCUAAAAUUGCUUCUACUCACACGAAUCUAAAAUCCCCCAACGAUCGAAGUUUCAUUGUUGUUGAACUCCUUGAUCUUAUGUUCUUCAUAGAAAAAACUCCACUAAAGAUGUAACGCCCCAAAAAUACCGGCUAAAAAUUUCAUUUUUAAUUUAGGUGAAUACAUAAAAACAUCAUUACCAAACAUUCAUAAUAAUACUCCAUGUCUGAGAACCGGUAAUAUCAUAGUAAUAUUUCAGAGUACAUCCCAAAAAAUCCAUAGUGCGGAAAACAAGAGUGUGUGUGAUAUGCCGCUACCGCGCCGACUCCUUUCCCUUAGCUGAAGAGGUACCUAAAACCAAAACUGAAACUAUAAGCAUGAAGCUUAGUGAGCUCCCCCAUAAUACCUCAUACCAUGCAAGCAUACAACAUACAGCUAGGAGAUACGGGCCUCGCCCAUACUCAUGAAGAUACGGGCCUUGCCCACACUCCGCUAACCGGGAGAUACGGGCCUCGCCCACACUCCACUAUCUGGGAGAUACGGGCCUCGCCCACACUCCACUCUCGGUGAGAUAUGGGCCUCGCCCACACUCAACCGCUAACCCAUAAUAUACAAGUAUCACACAGACAACAAGUAUAGACAACUCAAUCAUACUGGCAUAUAUCAUAAUCAACUCAACCAAGAGAUACGGGCUCGGCCCACACUCUAAUACUAACAUCUCGUCUAUACGGGCCGACCUUGGUGCCUUAGGCCCGUUCCUACUGGAAGGAAACUUACCUCAAAAUAGUUGUUGAUCGGUGUGGGAAUUGACUGUCUGCUGCUGCUGCCACUCCGGAAUCCUCCGGUUAUAAUUCCCACAAAAUACUCAGUCAAACACCGCUAAUUGUCCCUUGGGUAAAAUGACCAUUUUACCCUUGAUCGAGUCAAAAGUCAAAGUGAGAGUCAACUUCCAGUUGACCCGACUCGCCGAGUUGGCUCGCCAACUCGUCGAGUCCCGACCAUGCGAUUGUCCUUAAUCCCGUCUUUACUCGUCGAGUUAGGCAUUGACUCGACGAGUUUGCCUUCUAAACUGAUGUCCAAGUCCUUCGUCCUACUCGCCAAGUUCAUCUUCAUUCGAAGAACACCUUAUGCUGUGACUCACCGAGUUGUAUGAACAACUCGUCGAGUCUGUUCUUGAUCUAAGAAGAUUGCCAUGAACUCGCCAAGUCAUGGCAUUGACUCGCCGAGUGACCUCAUGAGUGAGUCUGGCUUCCAACCCACCGAGUCAUACCCUAUGACUCACUACUCCGACUCGCAAACACAAAAGGGGAACAACCUGGGGACUCGCGACCAGACUCGCCGUGUCAGAUGAACGACUCGCCGAGUCUGCCUCAUCCAAAAACUAUACACGCGAUUUUGCUUGAAUCCAGUCCAUGCCAUUCGUAGAUCUGGGUUACUAGGGCCUGGUUUACACGUAAAGUUUCCAACUUUACAUGUAGAUAAUCACCAUUGAAGGUUUUAGGGCUCAAAGAGUACCAAAAGGGGUAGAUCUAGGACUUUCAUGCAAUAUGACUCCAUAAAGGCAGUAGAUCCCAGCUCCAGGGACCAAAUCAUGCCUAGAUCUAAAGGCUAACAACCUAUUACAACCUACAAAGCACAAACAAGCUUGGAGAAUGGCUCAAGAAGGACUUUCAUGAAGCUAUUAGGGACUACAAGCUUAAAAACAGAGGGGAAACGAGCUAUACCUCAAGGAAAACGUUGAGAUGUCACAAAAAUGCUUGGCCUCCUUCUCCUCUUCUUGAUCUACUCUUCUUUCUCCUCAAAGGCUUCAAGAACACACCCAAAACACUUCAAUCUCACAAGGAAAAGGGCAAAAAUGAUGUUGGGGGCUCUGAGGGUGAAUGCGGGCGAGCUUGGGGCGGAAAUGAGGGUUUAAAUAGGGUGCAAACCCCUGAAAUUUAGGGUUUCAUCAAACAGCGGUGACUCGCCGAGUCGGCAACUUAAACGUGCCCCUGGACCGCGUCCCUACUCGGCGAGUCGGACCUACAACUCGCCGAGUCCAAGGUUGAAAUGAUAAAUACUAAGAUAAAUUUUACAUACCAGGAACCAGGUUCUACAGAAGAUGCUUUGAUUUUGAAUCGUUUAUCCUUCAUCAAUCGUUCCCCGGAGUACACCGAAAUCGUCGACUUCAUAUCGGCCUCCACUGUGGAUUGAAGACCUGAACGAAGAAGAUAAUCCAUUGUCGAUCAAAAUUUAGGUAUCAUCUGUUUUCAUAGUUAACUCCUGACCUUUGUUUGACCUUUAUGAAUUGUUUUUGCCUAAUCACUAAGUUGAACCUGUUUAGUCAAUAUGUUUUUAAGAAGAGUUAAAUCCUUGUGUUGAUUGUAGGUAUAAAAAUAGACACCUAUGUUAUUGAAAAAUAUAGAUAUUUGUUUGCACUCAACAUGUACGAUGAAAUGCCUCAAUGAGAAAUAUCACAUGUUAACUUCACUUUGACUUCAAGAAUGAUGAACCAAUUCCAAUUUAGUAUUCUGAAGGAUUUUUUGGUUAUAUUUUGAGAAAUGUAGGAGAUAUUUUUAUUUGUGGAACACUACAGCCUUUUGAGCAUAUAAUAUAAUGUCAGAAACUAGUCGUCUUUUACAAAUAAAUUUUCAUAAUACAAUUUAAAUGGAUUACUAUAGCCUUUUAAGCAUCUGGUAUGCUUGUAUUUUCUUGGUACCCAAGGCCUAACAUAUGCUUUAAUGUUGUUAAUGAUCAGUUUUUUCUCAGCCAUUUUACAGGUAAUUUAUGAAUUUGUAGUUAUUUACUCAUCUCUGUAAGAAUUAAGAAGCAAAUUGUUUAAUGUAUAUCAGUUUUGUUCUUUUUUUGAAUGAAAACUUCGUUUUCUUGUUUCAUUUCCAGCUUCCCUCUAUCAAACAUGCAUCGUUGGUUCUGUGGUUUUACCUGCAACCAGUUGCUAUGCUCUUAACGAUUCUAGCCACAUUCAUGAUUUUAGUAGCUGGUUUGGACACCCUAUUGAGUAUGAUGGAGUGGUAAUUUCCUUUUGUACAUAUUGAUCUUGAUAUUAUUCUAGUUGUUCGAAUUUGGGAUAGUUCUUUUCACAGUUUUGGUUGUGUUUUAUGUUUCAUUUCCUGUAGCUUCAUUGAGAGUUUGUUUUUGGGAUAAUGCAUAGAAUAUAGAGCUGUAACAUUUCUAUUAGUCAAGAAUGGGGAAGUCUCCUGGAAAGUGGAUCAAGACUGUGUUUUUUGGGAAGAAGUUAUCAAAAUCUAAUCUCUCAAAAGAUGCUACUUCAUAAAUAACAAUAUCCAUCACUGGUAAAACACCAUCAAACAAUUUUGGUGCUAAUUCAAUGAUCAUCUCAAGUCCAGUGUGCCCUGUAAUUGAUUCAAGUGAGCAUACAAAACUUCAAAAAGACCUCAAGUGACAACUUAAUAACCGAUUCACCUGAAAAUGAUAAUGUAAAUGAUUAUACAGAACUUGUAUAAUUGAUUGUUGCAAUUAAACCCUAGAGUAGAUGAUGAGUUUGAUAAAUGAUAAUGCAAAUAGGAGCACAACA